rnacentral:rRNA from 1 species
GUGGGGAAUCUUCCACAAUGGACGAAAGUCUGAUGGAGCAACGCCGCGUGAGUGAAGAAGGGUUUCGGCUCGUAAAGCUCUGUUGUCGGGGACGAAUGUGCAGUAUUUGAAUAAAGUACUGUAAUGACGGUACCUGACGAGGAAGCCACGGCUAACUACGUGCCAGCAGCCGCGGUAAUACGUAGGUGGCAAGCGUUGUCCGGAAUUAUUGGGCGUAAAGGGAGCGCAGGCGGGAAGGUAAGUCGGUCUUAAAAGUGCGGGGCUCAACCCCGUGAUGGGAUCGAAACUAUCUUUCUUGAGUGCAGGAGAGGAAAGUGGAAUUCCUAGUGUAGCGGUGAAAUGCGUAGAUAUUAGGAGGAACACCAGUGGCGAAGGCGACUUUCUGGACUGUAACUGACGCUGAGGCUCGAAAGCCAGGGGAGCGAACGGGAUUAGAAACCCUAGUAGUCC